rnacentral:rRNA from 1 species
UGGGGAAUUUUGGACAAUGGGCGAAAGCCUGAUCCAGCAAUGCCGCGUGUGUGAAAAGGCCUUCGGGUUGUAAAGCACUUUUGUCCGGAAAGAAAUCCUUGGCUCUAAUACAGUCGGGGGAUGACGGUACCGGAAGAAUAAGCACCGGCUAACUACGUGCCAGCAGCCGCGGUAAUACGUAGGGUGCAAGCGUUAAUCGGAAUUACUGGGCGUAAAGCGUGCGCAGGCGGUUUGCUAAGACCGAUGUGAAAUCCCCGGGCUCAACCUGGGAACUGCAUUGGUGACUGGCAGGCUAGAGUAUGGCAGAGGGGGGUAGAAUUCCACGUGUAGCAGUGAAAUGCGUAGAGAUGUGGAGGAAUACCGAUGGCGAAGGCAGCCCCCUGGGCCAAUACUGACGCUCAUGCACGAAAGCGUGGGGAGCAAACAGGAUUAGAUACCCUGGUAGUCCACGCCCUAAACGAUGUCAACUAGUUGUUGGGGAUUCAUUUCCUUAGUAACGUAGCUAACGCGUGAAGUUGACCGCCUGGGGAGUACGGUCGCAAGAUUAAAACUCAAAUGAAUUGACGGGGUCAUAGCUGUUUCCU